GAAAUUUUCAGAGAUGAGAAUGUGCCUUCGGGAACCGUGAGACAGGUGCUGCAUGGCUGUCGUCAGCUCGUGUUGUGAAAUGUUGGGUUAAGUCCCGCAACGAGCGCAACCCUUAUCCUUUGUUGCCAGCGGUCCGGCCGGGAACUCAAAGGAGACUGCCAGUGAUAAACUGGAGGAAGGUGGGGAUGACGUCAAGUCAUCAUGGCCCUUACGACCAGGGCUACACACGUGCUACAAUGGCGCAUACAAAGAGAAGCGACCUCGCGAGAGCAAGCGGACCUCAUAAAGUGCGUCGUAGUCCGGAUUGGAGUCUGCAACUCGACUCCAUGAAGUCGGAAUCGCUAGUAAUCGUGGAUCAGAAUGCCACGGUGAAUACGUUCCCGGGCCUUGUACACACCGCCCGUCACACCAUGGGAGUGGGUUGCAAAAGAAGUAGGUAGCUUAACCUUCGGGAGGGCGCUUACCACUUUGUGAUUCAUGACUGGGGUGAAGUCGUAACAAGGUAACCGUAGGGGAACCUGCGGUUGGAUCACCUCCUUACCUUAAAGAA
rnacentral:rRNA from 1 species